rnacentral:lncRNA from 1 species
GCUUGCCUGCUGAUCAGGGUGUGCUCUGUGGGGCUUCUUCACCAACACAGAGAGUCUGAGCAAAUUCCCAGGACACCAGAUUGUUGUCCAAAGAAAGUCCUAUGCCAGACCCAAAGCCCAGGGCAGGGCAGUACACGCUGCCCACCAGCAGGCCAUGGCAAAGGUGUUUAUGCACAUCACUGUGGGAGACUGAAGAACGGGUACCAGGGAUCAAUCGGCCACCAUGUAAAGUCUGAGAGAAAGAUGCCCCAGCUAUUCUUAAGACUUUCA